rnacentral:rRNA from 1 species
AUUGAACGCUGGCGGCAUGCCUUACACAUGCAAGUCGAACGGAUCAGAGGAGCUUGCCCUUCUGGUUAGUGGCGAACGGGUGAGUAAUGCAUCGGAACGUACCCAGUAGUGGGGGAUAACGUAGCGAAAGUUACGCUAAUACCGCAUACGACCUGAGGGUGAAAGCAGGGGAUCGCAAGACCUCGCGCUAUUGGAGCGGCCGAUGUCGGAUUAGCUAGUUGGUAGGGUAAAAGCCUACCAAGGCGACGAUCCGUAGCUGGUCUGAGAGGACGACCAGCCACACUGGGACUGAGACACGGCCCAGACUCCUACGGGAGGCAGCAGUGGGGAAUUUUGGACAAUGGGGGAAACCCUGAUCCAGCCAUGCCGCGUGAGUGAAGAAGGCCUUCGGGUUGUAAAGCUCUUUCAGACGGAAAGAAAUCUUCCGGGCUAAUACCUCGGGAGGAUGACGGUACCGUAAGAAGAAGCACCGGCUAACUACGUGCCAGCAGCCGCGGUAA